rnacentral:lncRNA from 10 species
GAGAGAGUAGGCAAGAGAAAGAGGGAGAGAGUGAGUGAUUAAAUGAACAAAUACAGCAAAGUUAGAGAAGGUGCUGGCCUACAAAGGUUUUAGUUAAAAAAAGCAGGGAAUUUUGCAUUAAUGAAAUCCACUGAAUAAUCGGUUUAAUUUGAGAUAUCCACAUGUGGCUAGUGGCUGGCAUAUUGGACAGGGAAGGCUGGGUGAAGCUUUUAAAUGAAGCUGGAAGGUGUCUGGGGCUCCAGUGGUAUGUCCCAUUCUUCAGAACAGGAGUCAGCCCUCUCCAUGAACUUGAUGGCCAGCUCCUCUGAACUCCAGGCCUGACCCUCUGACUAGCGCUGGCCUUGCUGCUCCUUUGAAUCCAUCGCAACAUUUCCUCCACAGCUGACUUCCUGGAUCUUCACUCAUUGUGAUUCUCCUGUGGACUGUCGCCUCCAUGUGAAGAAUUAUUUUAACUAAUUACUUGCAUUUUAAGAUCUGAAGAGGCCAGAAUAGAUACCAUGUGAUAAUAAAAAAUAAGCUUUUAGGUAAUUUUGUUAAUUUCACCUGAGGACACUAAACAUUUUCUUGUGAUUGAGUGAUUUACUUGGGAAAGGAAAUAAUUUAUUAAAAGGUCAUUCUCUUUAUACUAAAAAGGGGCAAGUUGCAAAAAUAUCAGGCAAUUUAACUUUCUCAUGUUUUACUGUCAUGAAACAGUUCUCAAAUCUAGGUACAUCUGAAUUAAUACAAGAAAUGAGCUUUUUUUUUUGUAGGUUGAAUCUUAUAGAUUUAUUCACAAAUAAUGAUUCAAUACCAAUUUUAAAAAGAAACCCUGAUGCUAGGUAUUGUGGAG